rnacentral:rRNA from 1 species
AGCGAACGCUGGCGGCAGGCUUAACACAUGCAAGUCGAGCGGGCACUUUCGGGUGUCAGCGGCGGACGGGUGAGUAACGCGUGGGAACUUGCCCUCUGGUUCGGAAUAACUCAGGGAAACUUGAGCUAAUACCGGAUACGCCCUUUUGGGGAAAUGCUUGCUGCCGGAGGAUCGGCCCGCGUCUGAUUAGCUAGUUGGUGAGGUAACGGCUCACCAAGGCGACGAUCAGUAGCUGGGCUGAGAGGAUGAUCAGCCACACUGGGACUGAGACACGGCCCAGACUCCUACGGGAGGCAGCAGUGGGGAAUAUUGGACAAUGGGCGCAAGCCUGAUCCAGCCAUGCCGCGUGAGUGAUGAAGGCCUUAGGGUUGUAAAGCUCUUUUAUCCGGGACGAUAAUGACGGUACCGGAGGAAUAAGCCCCGGCUAACUUCGUG